AAAAUAUGUUAGUCACUGUAGUCUCCCUUGGCUGUGGUAAGAUUAAGCCAUGCCUUUUACAAUUCAGCCUUUAGGACAAUGAAUGCUAUGUUAUUUAAUAUCCAUCUUCUAAUCAAUGGAGAUAAGUAGAUCAGAGAAACUUAAGGUAAUGCAAGUUGAUCUGCACAAAGUUACAAAAAAGUGUAUAAAAGGCUAGGAACAUAGCUCAGGGGGUAGAGUGUUUGCUUCUUAUGCACAAUGCUCUGUGUUCAAUCCCCAGCACCACAAAGAGAGGGAGAGAGAGAGAGAGAGAAGGAGAGAGAGAGAGAGAGAAAUGAGCUUUGGGGGCUGGAUCUGUGGCUCAGUGGUAGAGCACCUGCCUUGCAUGUGUGAGGCAAUGGGAUCAGUCUUCAACACCACAUAAAAAUAAAUAAAUAAAGAUAUUGUGUCCAUUUUAAAUAUCUAAAAUGUGAAUGGGGAGGUUAUCUUCAGAUGAAUAAACAUUCAUGAUCUAGAAGGUCUGUAUGAGAAAACAAUUUCCUGAAGAGAUGAAGCUGAGUAUUCGCACAUCCUUAUGUAGAAGCCUCCUCUUUGAUAAUACAUAGAAGUUGGAAUCUUCAUGCAAAAUCACCACAUGAAAGACUACUUAGGAGACUGUAUGAAGGCUUGCUAGUGGAAACUGGCAUUGUCCAGUUCAUAAUAAUGAAUGAAGAACCAAAGAUUGCUUUUGACUGAGAUGGCUCUAAUGGUCUGCUACUGUGCACCUCCCAGAAGACACAAUAGUAUGGAGCUGAGUCUUGUUUCUCUGCAUUGGGAAUGGUGAGGGUAGACACAGAAGUUGCAGGUAUCUUGUCCACCUCAAGUUUGCCUAAUGUAGUGCUUUUUUUCAGAUUGACAGAGUUGUCAGGAGCUGCAUGGCAUGAGCAGGUCUUUUCCUGAUGCGAGUGUGUGGACAUGGCAGAAAUGGUUAUUCCAGACACCACACAUUCCAGUUGUGCUACUUUGGAAAGCAUUUUAGUACAAAGGUUGAAUUUGCUUGGGUCACCUGCAUUGUAUACAAACCCUGGAGGAAAAAGGGGUGGGGGAUAGUUUGCAAAAAUAGAAUGAAAACAUUGAAUUAAAAAAAAAUACAAAGUUAAAGAAAAUCAGUGAAAAGUAUAUGGAGGAGGCAGACAACAUAUGUGACCUAGAGGAUCUGUGGGAGAGAGUAAAGAUUUCUGAAAAGAUGAGGCUGAGCAUUUGGACAUUCUUAGGUAAAACUUCCUUUUGAGAAAAUAUGGAAGUUUGAAACUCCAGUGUAAAAUCACCACAUGAGUGAUUUACCUAGGAGACUGUAUAAAAGCAUGCUGGUGGUAAAGGGUGGUCCUUAGCACCUAUUAGCACUUGCACCCUGAAGGUGGGAACACAAGGUUCACCAUCUUACAUCUGAUCAUGGAGAGCAGAUGACCACCUCAGAACUACAAGACCACUUAUUCACACAGUCAGUGUCAUUCAACACCCAUCAUUUGUCACGGGGGCCUAGUUUAUUGGGAUACAGAUGCAGGGAGCUGUCUAACAGAGAUGAGUCGCCACCAUGAUCUUGGUCUUUUCUGUUUUCAAACACUACCUUUCACAGAAUAAAAAUACAAUAACCCCACUGAGCUGUCAGGCCAGAGUGGUGGGUGGUCAGGCUGUGCUGCAUAUCAUUGAGCCCACAGAGAGCUUGUCUUCACCCAGGUGGAGACUUUGAUUGGGUAGUGAACUGACCCCUGUUCAGUUACUCUCACAUCCUGUAGGUUUUGGAAUCUAGCCACCUUUCUGGGUCUGAAUACUCCAUUCCUGGUGGCUUGCUCCUGUUUAAGUUUUAUCUUUCUGUCCUAUCCCAGCUACCAGAGCUAUACAUCUGUGCUAAACCCCAGUCUCUAAGAAGCACUGUUCCCUCUUUCUGAAUUACUGCUUUUGUUUUUGUCUGUUUUCCUUUCUCUAACCCAAGACAUUUUAUCUGUGCUAGAGUAUUUUUAAAAACUGCUCUUUCCCAAUCAGCUCAUUAAAAUUUAUUGUCUAGAUUUCUGUUUUUACUUUACCUACUCUGCCUCAGUUGUCACUUCCCCACUCUUAAAAGAAUGAACAAGGCUCCUCAGAGAAAAUACCCAUUUAUUGAGGAACAGCCUGGGGUGGUUUGACAGUUAUGACAGUUUAAUGGUUGAAUGGUUUGACAGUUGGCAUGGGGUGCUUUCUGAUUGGUGGAUAAGGAUCAUGUGAGCCAGCAGGGCUAGACUGAUUGGUGGGUAAGGAUCAUGUGAACCAGCAGGGCUCACCAUUGGACGGCUCUUCUGGGGGGGGGGAGUUAGUCUUUGGAGCCAGGGCGACCCCCAACAUUACUUAUCUUUAAUUAUCUUAGAGGGGAGAAAAGAAGGGAUAGGGGAAUAUCACACACCCAUCUUUACCCCUCCUACCACCAGAGCUCCAUAUGCACUUGUCCAACUGACCACCAGAUAACUUCAAGUUUGGCUCACAUAAGACAUCAGGAAACUACAAAUGUACAGAGCCAGAGUAGAUUCAUCAUUCCUCUUGGCCACUCAUCUUUUCCUACUGUAUAAGGGAACAUCACUGCUACUCACUUUGCACAAGCCAGACUAUGCAUGUCAGUCAGCCCCAACUCCCCAACUCUCUCCUCUAAUUUUUCACAGUUCAGUUUUUGUGGAUUCUACCUCUUAAACAGGCUUGGCUCACACCUGUCUCCAUUCUGUCUUUCACAUUUUGCAAACACUGGAUCCUACCACCCUCUUACCCACCACCUGGGUACUGAUCUUAUCUAGUUCAUUUUCUGCUUAGAAUUCUUCAUUCUGCUCUAUUCUGCUUCUGAGUAUCAAGUCCAGAGCUGCUAGAACAUGAGUCCUAUGAGAUGGUAUCUCCUCCCUUCUUUUCUGUCUUCAGGUAUUCUCUCCUUAGAUGCCCAAGAUCCACAUCUGUGCUUCUCAGAAUAUAUCACACCUGUGAAUACUACUUCAAUCCACAGAUGUGCUGCUGUAUAUCCCACUUUUCUUGGUGAACUCCUGUUCAUCUCUGGACUCAGCUCAGGCACUGUCUCCUCCAGGAAUCUUCUCACCAGGUAGUCUGGGGUGAAUGUACCUCCAAUUGCUUUCUAGUGGUGCCUUUAGUGUCUCUGUCUCUCAAAAGGUUUCUUUCCAAUAUUUGGGCUGUAUGGUUAUUGUUAUCUCUUAUUAGACUCAUUUGGGAACCAUUAGGAGGGGAAUGAGACUAUCCUUUAUUUAGUUUUACUUCCAGUUAUUUGUGGAAUGGAAUAAAAAGUGAAGGAAUGAGUGGAAUAGUGGUCAUUGAAGUAUUUCUUUUCAUGCAGUGAAAGAUCAUCAUUUAAAAUAUAACCUGUAAAACAAACAAACAAAAAACCCAGAUACCAAGUGAUGACAUGUCCCAAACACUCUGUAUCCUUUCUCAUGUUGAACUAUGUAAAAUAGUGUAAUCUCCAUGAAGCCCAGUUGGAAGAAAGUGAGACUCAACUUAUCACAACUUGUCAUUGACAGAUUUGAGAGUGUUUUUUUUUUUUUUUCUGACUACAAAGCAUGUAACAUUUGCCUUUUCUCAUCUAUCUGGUAAGAAUAAAAUCAGGACCCACCUUAUUGGACAUUUGUGAAGCAUAAAUAAGUUAGCUCAGGUAGAGGGUUUGCAUCAGUGCCUUAACUACUGUUAGGCCAAAAUUGGGAAGAAAGGUUUUGAGAGCAAACCCUGAGAGUUGUUUCUGUCAGAAUCUGUCAUGUUGCCUUCACUGAAUAUGCCCAGUUGAGCAUUAGAAAUAUACUAGUCCUGCUCUUGUCACACUAAUCUCUCAUGAAGAGACAGGCCAAAAGCAAGGCUCCCACAAAGAAAGUGACAAUGGUGUCUUGGGCAAAAGGAAGUAUGUUGUUCUGUAGAGAGCUCCUUUAGGAACUUGUGCCUCCUUUGGCCACACCCAGUCAUCAGCAAUUCACAGAAUUCACUCCUAUCUGGAGCCAAGCUUGAAAGAGGUGCAGGAAGUGCACAAGGCCUCUCUUUUCUGUACCCAUCUGGCAUUAUUAGCACAUUGAGGAAUAAGAAAUGAAGGAGCAAUCUGAAAACAAAACAACAACAAAAAGUAAGUUUCAGCACUUCUCCUUCCAUCCUUCUGAUAAGUGCUGGGAGGACUUAGCUUUGACUUAGGACUUUGUGUGCAGGAAGGAUAAUGGGGCUCUUUUAGAAAUCAGGCAUGUGGUAGUUAUACAUCUCUAGUCACAAAAACAGAAGUUGAGAGAGAGAGACAGUGAGUUGAGAACCUGAAGGAUCACUUUUCUUGGAAAUCAUUUGCCCCUUCUACUCAUAAUCUGCUUUUAUUUUAUUGAUAUUUUCAUAAAUACCUGUAUAAAUGUUGGAUCUUCAAUGUAAAAAAGUGUUUACCUUCAACUAAACCUUUAAAAAUCUUUUUGUUUCAUUGUUGUUUUUCUUCACACACAUCAGCAGAGGAGUUUCCUCUUAGGUGCUGGAGGAUUGGGAACACAGGUUUAUUUUUUUUUCCAUUUAUUUUUCUAUUAAAGAAGUUGGUUGUUUGUAUGAAGACAGACACAACAAUAUCUUAUUUGUAUGACUUGGCUUUAUUACAGAAAUUGUAGUCACAUGGUUUAGCAGCCAUUUGUGGAAAGUGGAAACAGCACGAAGAACUUGACUCUGGAGAAGCCUGGGUGCAUCCAUGUCCCAUGCUGGGCGAUGCUCAAGGAGCAGUGGAGGGCAAAGGACCCAGCGACUCCCCCAGGGUUUCGCACAUCACCCUGCCAUGAGGAUUAGCUCCUAACAUCAGCUCCUGCACUAUUUCUCCAAUGGAUGAGGGUGCUGGACUUGGGCAAUAUUGUUACCUAAGCUUCCUACUGACUAAUGUCAUGUGAGAAGGGUCUAUGGGACAAGAACUUAGAAGCUGGAAAUUAAGAGUAAGUUCCCUCUCUCAGUGUUUUCAACCAUUUGGUGGUAAAUACAGAGGGUCUUUCAUUCAAGAAAUCUCAUGUCAGAUAUUUUAUUUGUGCAUUCUUUGGGUGAGAUGGUCAGACCCUUAAAUUAUCCAUAGAUAAAAACAUCACCAACAUGAGCCACAAAUUAAAAAUUUUCUAGUUAGUGCAUUAAAAAGUAAAGAGAACUAGCUAAAUUAGUUUUACUACUAUCAUUAUUUAAUCCAAGGUGUCUAAAAUAUAAUCAUAUAACAUUGAAUCAAUAUAAAUGUUUUUGAAUUAUUUCACUUUUGUUAUACUUAGUCUUCAAAGUUUGGUUUAUAUUUUAGCCCUACAGUCCAUCUCAGCUUGGACCUUUUCAAUAGCUCCUUUUCAAGUGUUUCAAGUGCUCAAAAACCACUUGGAACCAGUGGCACUGGUAUGGAUCAGCACUGCUUAUCCUCCACAUGUUUCAGAACCUUUGAAGAGGAGGCCCUUUGAGAGGGUCCCUUUGACUGGAUUGCACACAGAUUCUGUGUCAGCCUGAGAACUCACCUGUCUUUGGCCUCAUCCCCUUAUCUGUGGUGGGAGCACUGAGGGGAAACCAGUAGAGGCCAGGGGGCUGAAGGCCAGGAGUGGGUUUUUUCUACUUUCAUGCCAUAAGGAAACCGAAGGGACCAAAAGUUAGUGAACAUGUCCAAGGCCUGGCAGGAAGGAGAAGAGGCCUUUUUGUGUGGGGUCUGGAUUGGUCCCCAGGGCUGUGCCGCUCCAGGUCGCCUAGUAGUACAUACCUUCAUCACCCUUUUCUACCUUCCACACCAACAGAGAACAGCUACUGCCAUUCCUGGUGUUCACAGUUGUGAUUCUACCUGAUUUCAAGAUUUUGAAUCCCAUUGCACAACCCUGCUGAACAUAGCCAUCCAGAGAAGUCUCUGGGGGCGCUGGUCCUCCUCCUGCUGGUACCUCCAGGAGGUAGCUGACCUGGCUGUGGACCAAGCACUGCAGAAAGACAGAGUUUUCCUUGUGUGCCAGGACCUGGGUCGCUUGCUCCAGCAUGAUGAGUGGCUGCCCCGCUUUGAAGGAGAAAACUGUGAGGCAGAGGCAACCCCAAGCCUGGAAGCCUCUGCAGAUGUCACUCUGCAAGAAGGUGGGAGACUUACCUAGAAACAAGAGGACCCAGAGGAGGGUGAGGAGGCCUGACAUGACUCUUGCUCCUGACAGAAGCUCAGGGUGACCUCUGGUCUCAAACUGCUGCCAAAAGCCACAGCUUGGUGAGUGGUUGAGGCCAGGUGGGGCCUGAGCCAAUUCCUGUCUUGUGCAAGGAUGUCAUUAAUAAGAGAAGUAGGAGAGGGAGGAAGAGGCUCUAGAGAGAGGAUAUACACAAAUCUAAUUGCAAGAUGAAGGGAAAGGGGAUGAAUAGUUUGAGUUCUGAGAAAUCAACUUUAAAAAUGUUGCUGGAGUCAUACUUGCCCGAAGAGGAAAUGUGGUGGGACGCUUCCUGUACUCUCAAACUCCCUUGAUGUGCAGGGGCCUGGAGCAGUGGCAUGAUUGACUUGUUACCUGAGUUAUAUUAGAUCCUAAAAGUAACCUAAUGAAAUAAACAGUAUUAUUCUCAGCUUUUGAAAUGUGGAAAUCAAGGCAGAAACUCAUUAAAGUCUGAACAGGUCUGGAGAACCAGGGUGGUCACAUGGUGCGAGGUAUGGCAGUAGACCUCUCUAAGGCCUCAUUUAGAAACUCUAUAGUAAUGGAGACAUAAGUAUGCUGUUUGCUUUGAGAAAAGGACAAGCACUGGAAAGUAAUUUCUGCCCAAAGUGCCUGCUCCCUAUGUGGGCUAUCAUUGGAAUUUGUCACUCACAGGUCCUGUUGCAGAUUUUCAGUGCUCCGAAAUUCAGCAGGAAAGUUGUGUGGUCUUGGGCAAGUUGUUUUGCUUCCUUUCUACUCUCGUCUAAUUUUCACCUGUAACUGAUCAACCCCAAGUGACCUUGUGUUCCUAGUCAACAGAUUGAAUGUGCCUCCACAGGCCCUAGGAGAGCUGAGAGAAUGAUGCUGUCAGCCAGGAUUCUUGGCCAAGGAUGAGCGAUAGCAGUUGGGAGUUUGGUCUUAGGAGUCAUUUGGGGGCAGUGCAUAGCUGUUAAGGGGAUUGACGAGGAUGGUAGUUGGGCUUCAGACUCAUGAUUUCCCUUUGUUCAGAGUACAGUGAGUUCAUGGCAGGAAGUGAGAUGGGGAUUUGUCUAGGUGGUAUACCAGAAAGAGAGCACAAUUUUGAGUGUACACAAGGACCAAUCUAAAUCACUGUGCUAGUCAAAUAGGCACAGGAAUACAAAGCAGAGUCACUUUCUUCCAGAUUUCUUACUGUAAAUUUAUAUCUCCCAUCUGCACCUUUAUAAACAACAUAUUUCCCUGAUGGGAUUCCAGAGUCCUCCACAACCUUGCAACUUAAAAAAUUAUAGUAGAGAAGGCGUUGUGGGGCCUUUGCCUCCUUGAAUUGGUACCAGUGGAUGUCCUUAUUUGUGAUUUGUAAGUCACAAGUGAUUGCCAGAAGUGACCCAGGUAAACGUGUGACUGACAUCAUUCUCCUUUCCAAACUGGAAGAUGUUUGACUGCCUGGAAUGGUAACAACAAUAAUAAUUAACAGCAACGAUGUAAUGGAAUUCUUUGUUAUGGCCUUUUUUGGAGAAAACAACAUCCUAUGAGCAUCUGUGCCACAUACUUACCAGGAGGCAGGGUGGCUAAAAGUAGGGCUAGAGCCCACAGCAUGCCUUCUUCCCUGGGGCUUACAAAGAAAAGGACCAGAUUAUAAAAAGAGAAUAAACACCUCUCAAAACUCAAAUCCUGCUCAAAAUGGAAGGGAUCCCUCCAACAGUGACUGAAACCUGAUCCUCCUGACUGCAUCAGAACCAGGGAGAAGUAACUGAGGAAGUGCCUGAGAAGACUAUCCAGCUGUUUACCCACAGAGUGGUGCUGGGAGGAGCCUCUGCCUCUGUGCUUCUGCCCACUUCUUUAGUGCCCCCAUAUGGCCACUGAGAGCAGGUCCUCUGCAGAGAAGGAGAAGCCAGGAGCCUAGAGAACUCAGAGCUAAAGCAGGUUGAACACAAAUGUGGGAAGCAGAGCCCUGGAUGAAAUUUGUCUGCCUUGUGGAAACAUGAAAAUCCCCCAGAAAUUCAGUUUUCAGGUUGAUGGUACUGCCUUGGUCUUGUCCUGAGAUGAAACUUCUUCAUCAUGUUCCUGAACCACCUUCACUUACAUUUGUAAAUAGAUGUUGGGAACAAUCAUCAACUGUAAAUCUGAUAAGCUUUGAGUCCAUUUUAUUAAAAAAAACUUGGAUCAAUUAUAUUGGCUGCAAAUUAUAUUCCCCCAUGGUAAAUCGGGUUGUGUGUGUGUAUGUGCUUGUGUGUGUGGUGGAGGGGGU
rnacentral:lncRNA from 1 species